rnacentral:rRNA from 1 species
UACAGAGGUCUCAAGCGUUGUUCGGAUUCAUUGGGCGUAAAGGGUGCGUAGGCGGCGCGGUAAGUCGGGUGUGAAAUCUUCGGAGCUUAACUCCGAAACUGCAUUCGAUACUGCCGUGCUUGAGGACUGGAGAGGAGACUGGAAUUUACGGUGUAGCGGUGAAAUGCGUAGAUAUCGUAAGGAAGACCAGUGGCGAAGGCGGGUCUCUGGACAGUUCCUGACGCUGAGGCACGAAGGCCAGGGGAGCAAAACGGG